CUCCAUUGGAAGAAGUGCACUUUGCAGAAUACAGAAAAUUUCAUGAACAUAAGGCCGGAUCUACGGGCAAAGGCCGAAAGGAAAACUUGAACGAUUGGUAUCGUGAAGAACUGGGCUCGAGUUCGUCGUAUACCUCGAAUCGAAAAACUUGCAGUCCACAUAAUAUCAGAAAAGACAUAAAUACAUUGAGGGGCUUUCAGGUUACCUCAGAAUGGGCUCUACCGAAGCCACCCCCAGUUUACGGUACUCUUUCUGCUCAUCAAAGCUGAUGAAAUUUUAUUGGCUGAAUGUAAUUUUGCUACCGUGACCCGCUUGACACUUUCGAGACGUAACAGAAAUAAUCAUAAUAUCAGAGUCGUUCAAAAGCCUGUUCUCUUCAUCAAAACAACCUUUAUACGACGUCUCGGCGGCUCCCAACACUUAAGGACAAAUCGAACGAUCGAAGCUAUGAGCUUCCAGCAACGCCAAUAAUUCAUGCACGCAUUCUACAAUGCACUUGUACAAAGCAAUGAACUUAAUAAACAGCUUGUGUAAUCGAUCUUCUCCAGGACGUGUGUAGGUGAUCGGAUGUGACAGCGUCGGAAACUGUUUUUGCUUGUCAUGGGAGUAUAAACCCCGGUCAGUCCGGUUGCCGUUCACAGCCUGCAGCUAUGUAUCGUUGCAGAAUUCAUUGUUUUGGAAGAAGUUCGAGAUAAGUCAACGCACAACUUAGCCGGUGGAAUGACAACUUAAUUACGUUUCCUUCGCUUCAGAUGGUAGAGAUGAGCAGCCGAAACGAGCGUGAAGCAUGGACGGAUACGUAGCACUCGUUCGCUUUCAGCAUCACUUGGACGAAAAUGCGGCAUACACGGCCACCAAGGUAGAACUCGGUCGAUAAUAGUAUCGUCUCCCACAUAGACGACAUUGUGGUGACACUAGCGGAGGUUACGAAGCCAACUACAGUCAUGCUCCAGCGAUGCAUUGAAAGAUUUCGCCGGCGUAGAGAUGCCAAAGCGCAUCAAACCCGUCUAUCGAAGUCGCUUCUGUUGAUUGCAACGACGGGUCUUCCAGAACUCUCAAGUACAUUUCAAGUCGAAGGAGAACAAUAACUACAGUAGCGGUUGUGGGGCCUGGUCGGAGGCUGAUAAC